AUGCUUGCUUUGGCAGCACAUAUACUACAAUUGGAACAAUACAGAAAUGAUUAGCAUGGCCCCUGCUCAAGGAUGACAUGCAAAUUCGUAAAGUGCCUCAUAUUUUU
ensembl:snRNA U6 U6 spliceosomal RNA